rnacentral:rRNA from 1 species
UACAGAGGGGGCAAGCGUUGUUCGGAAUUACUGGGCGUAAAGGGCGCGUAGGCGGCCUGGUAAGUCGGACGUGAAAUCCCUCGGCUCAACCGGGGAACUGCGUCCGAUACUGGCGGGCUUGAAUUCGGGAGAGGGAUGUGGAAUUCCAGGUGUAGCGGUGAAAUGCGUAGAUAUCUGGAGGAACACCGGUGGCGAAGGCGGCAUCCUGGACCGACAUUGACGCUGAGGCGCGAAAGCCAGGGGAGCAAACGGG